UGCAUCGGCCAGGAAUCGAACCCGGGGCGCCCGCCACUAUAAUAUAUAAAUGAGUUUUAAAAAUUGUAAAAAAAAAAAAAUGCAUCGGCGGCGAGCAUUCUACCACUGAACCAAAAGC